CCCCGAGAGAGGAUCGCCGAAACCGGGCAGAGAAUACGGGGUUACAUCGGGGGAGAGAAACCUGGAUUUGCCGGCUGAAGAACACGUAUAUACCGGCUGUGGAUAAUCUGUUACCCCCCCGGACGGGAUUAGGCUUCGUGAUUCAGCGACACGGGGCAAAGAAGGACCACCGGCCAAGCGGACCCCCCGAGCGACGAGAAGGGGCCCGUUUAGCGGAGACGAAGCCAGGGUGUGGGGAGGAGUAGCCGUCUCUGGAGAGAACACGUCCCCCCCGCUCUACCGAAGUUACAGCGCCGAGCGAGCGGCGCCGAACGUGCUGGAACUGAGCGGAACCGAUCACCGGGAUUUGUCAACUGGGAGCCGGGGAGGAACCGGACAGAGACCUCAUGAAUGGAAAUCGGAACUACAGGAGCCGUUGGGGCCCAGUCCCUGUUCUCCGUGCCCAGACGCCCCGGUUAUGGCACCAUGGGGAAGCCCAUCAAGCUGCUGGCCAACUGCUUCCAGGUGGAGAUCCCCAAGAUGGACGUCUACCUGUACGAGGUGGACAUCAAGCCCGAGAAGUGCCCCCGCCGCGUC